GGGGGGCAAAGCGUUGAGCUCCGCGAAGACGCGUGCGUGGCCCGCGCCGGGGCGGGCUGGGGGACCCGGGCGGCCGCAGUUCACACCAGUGCGCCUGCCUUCUCCGCAGGGCCGACCUUGCCUUUGUCACCGAAGGUGGGAGAGCCAAGGCGCUGGCCCCUAGGGGGCGCUUCGAGCCGAGAGAGCGCGCAGAUCCACCCCUCUUACCCAACCUCCCUCCUCCUCACCUGCGCUCGGCCGGCCACCUCGCUCCGUAAACACGGAAGGUCUAGCCCGCCUGCCCUCCACGGCGAUCGCUGCCCAGCGGGAAGGAGCUAACGCAUCCAGGUUGAAGGCAGCUGCUCCGGGACCGACGUCUCUUCCGGCUUUGCUCCCGGCUUCUGGGUCUUUCCGUGCAUCGGCUCUGGGCUGGUGUGCCAUCUUGUGCCAGGCCCUAGCUCCUUGAGAGCUCCCGAGCGUGUAGAUACCUCACCGGUGGGUGCCAACCCAGGAGGCACUCGCAGUGCUGAGUGGACGACCCCGUGGGUGUUUAACCCCAUCUCUCCGUGUUUUGAGAAGAAAUUUAGGGACGAGAAUGGAAACUGAAGCCGGGCGUGGUGACGCACGGCUGUCAUCCCAGGUCUUGGGAGGCUGAGGCAGGAGAAUCGUCUCGAGUUCGAGGCCAGCCUGGGCUACAUAGUAAACCCCGUCUCAAAAAACCAACAACAAAAAAGCCGUAAACCUCCUCCUCUUUUCUUCUUCUCUCUCUCUCUGUCUCUCUCUUUCUUUCUUCUGGACUGGGGAUCAAACUUGGAUCCUUGAGAGGCGGGCGAUGGAACCACUCAGGACCUGUGUUCUAUCACCGACCACUCUAACUGGGAGAGACUGGUUCUCAUCCUCCUCAGGAAUUAUAUUGACUUCACAGUACCCACUGGGUAAAUGGGUGAGUAAACGGGUCCAUCCGUGCCAAGCAGCUUAAUGUGGUUGAUUAAUCAAGGAAUUAGACAUAAAAUUUCAAAUAGCCUCCAGAUAUAAUCCUAUAAUCUUAGCACUUGGGAGGCUGAAGCAGGAGGAUCACCUUGAGUUUGAAGCCAGCCUGGGCUAUAUAGCAAGACCCUGUCUCAAAAGAACAAACAAAUAGCUUCCAGGCAUGGUCUGCCUCCUGUUUUCAUGUUUUCUUCUAAACUUGAGGAACUGUGAGAUAGUCUCAAAAUUCUAACAUGUAUAGCAAGUCUUCUAAAAUAUAAAAUCUUAUAUAUCUCAAAUAUUGAGAAAUGGAUAGAUAUUUACUAUUUACAAGUCAAGUUUCAUUAAUAACAAGACUGAUGGUACAGUCUAAACUUCCAAAAGCCCACCUAAGGGUUCAAUAGUAUUUAAUCCAAUCAAAGUCUGACUAACCUAAAAAUGUAAAUAUAAAAAUAUAAAUCCUAGGCAAUGUCACAUAUUAAUUCAUACAUAAACUAUAGAAAUUGUUUUGGGGCUUUUUUUUUGGUACCAGGGAUCAAACUCAGGACCUUGUGCUUGUGAGGCAGGCGGCAAAACCACUGAGCUAAAUCCCCGCUUGGGGCAUUUUUCAAAGUGGGCUUCUUUGUUUAUUGUGCAGUUUAAAUAUAAAUUAGCUGAGCCUGGUGGUACACACCUGUAAUCCUAGCACUCUGGGCAGGAAGGCUGAGGCAGGAAGAUUGCAAAUUUCACCCCAGCCUGGGCAACUAAGAGAUUUACCAAGAAUCUGUCUCAAAAAAAAAAAAAAUAAAAUAAAAUAAUAAUAAUA
rnacentral:lncRNA from 1 species